rnacentral:rRNA from 1 species
CCUACGGGGUGCAGCAGUCGAGAAUCAUUCACAAUGGGGGAAACCCUGAUGGUGCGACGCCGCGUGGGGGAAUGAAGGUCUUCGGAUUGUAAACCCCUGUCAUGUGGGAGCAAAUUAAAAAGAUAGUACCACAAGAGGAAGAGACGGCUAACUCUGUGCCAGCAGCCGCGGUAAUACAGAGGUCUCAAGCGUUGUUCGGAAUCACUGGGCGUAAGGCGUGCGUAGGCUGUUUCGUAAGUCGUGUGUGAAAGGCGCGGGCUCAACCUGCGGACGGCACAUGAUACUGCGAGACUAGAGUAAUGGAGGGGGAACCGGAAUUCUCGGUGUAGCAGUGAAAUGCGUAGAUAUCGAGAGGAACACUCGUGGCGAAGGCGGGUUCCUGGACAUUAACUGACGCUGAGGCACGAAGGCCAGGGGAGCGAAAGGGAUUAGAUACCCUGGUAGUC